GGGGUUGACUGGAUUUGACAGCAGGAUGAGAUGGUACGUAAGCACGCGGAGCCUCGUUGGCUAGCUCCUUAAUCUGAGUGAACAAAAAUUAAUUGGCAACAAUAAGUAUGCUCUCGCUGCUUAAUCGAAGCACAGUAGAUUACGAGCUUAAUUCUGUCACCAGGUGAUAGAACGAGACAUCGCUCCAAGGGUGUUGUUCCGAAUCUGAGGGUCAAGCGGUGCAGGUAAAUCGGAAAUAGCUAUGUCGGGCCUCGACGGCAUGGUGAAAUUUAGAGGAUAAGGUUGCAGUUGGUGGUCCAGGUCUUGCUGCAGCACGAAAACCAAAGGCUGGAAUAAGCGUGUAGAAAGCGUAUGGUUUCCCUGUUUGGACGAGGGUUCGACUCCCUCCAGCUCCAC
rnacentral:tmRNA from 1 species